UACGGAAGGCAGCAGUGGGGAAUAUUGCACAAUGGGCGCAAGCCUGAUGCAGCCAUGCCGCGUGUAUGAAGAAGGCCUUCGGGUUGUAAAGUACUUUUCAGUCGUGAGGAAGGUGUUAAGGUUAAUAACCUUAGCAAUUGACGUUAGCGACAGAAGAAGCACCGGCUAACUCCGUGCCAGCAGCCGCGGUAAUACGGAGGGUGCGAGCGUUAAUCGGAAUUACUGGGCGUAAAGGGCACGCAGGCGGUUAAUUAAGUUGGAUGUGAAAUCCCCGGGCUUAACCUGGGAAUGGCAUUCAAGACUGGUUAGCUAGAGUCUUGUAGAGGGGGUUAGAAUUCCAUGUGUAGCGGUGAAAUGCGUAGAGAUGUGGAGGAAUACCGGUGGCGAAGGCGGCCCCUGGGACAAAGGACUGACGCUCAUGUGCGAAAGCGUGGGGAGCAAACG
rnacentral:rRNA from 1 species